AACAUAGCUUCUUGAUUUUUUUUGAAGUGAAGCCUGCCCGGUGUAAUGGUUUAUAAACGGCCGCGCAAGUGCUAAGGUAGCAUAAUAAUUUGUCUUUUUAUUGGAGACUAGAAUGAAUGGCGCAACGAGGCCCAACUGUCUCUGUUAUGUAUUUUGAAAUUGAUUUAAAAGUGAAAAAUCUUUUGUUUAUUAGGAGGACGAGAAGACCCUAUAGAGUUUUAGUAUAACUAUUAGUUACUUAGGGGUAACUUUAGUAUACUUUUAUUGGGGCAAUAAGAGAAGAAUAAAAAUCUCUUGUUUAUAUGUCCUCGAAGAGAAAGAAAAUAAACUACCUUAGGGAUAACAGCGUAAUCUCCCCAGAGAGGUCUAAUCGAAGGGGAGGUUUGCGACCUCGAUGUUGGACUAAGGGGGCGAUAAUAUGGAGAGGUAUUAUUAGCAAGCCUGUUCGGCUUUUAAAUCCUUA
rnacentral:rRNA from 1 species